AUCCAUCUAAUGUGUCCCAAAUAGGACGAAACGAUCCUCCUGGAU
rnacentral:hammerhead_ribozyme from 1 species